UGUUAUCUGUCUGCGUAAACUCCUGGACGAGAAGCAAGGAUUCCCCCUCCUGAAGACGGGAGCGGAAAAGGCUGGCAACCGCUUCUCCAGGUGAUCUCACUGAGCAAGGCAAAAAAAAAAGAUACACAUCAGGCCUAGGGCAGAAUUUUAUGGCUGACUAGGAGGAAUGUCAGUGGGGAUGCACUGAAUUGUGAGGAGCUACAUUCCGGGGCCCUGAUCCCUGGCUGCUCUCUGGACACUCCAGGCAGUCAGAAGACUCAGUGUUUGGCAGGAAACUGGCCGGAGGUGUUGCCGAAGGAACCGCCAGAACUCUGGAGUUGACAGGUCCCACUCUCUCCCACUGGCAUCAUCUGGUGGCGACUCAUGGUUGGAUUCCCCAGCAGCGACCCAUGAUUGGGACUGGAGGACCCUCCCAAAGGGCCUCAACAAGGCAUGCAUUUCCUGGUUUGAAAUUGUGAAGUUAUCCAUGGACCAGUCUAUUGAGAGCUUGGCUAUUCUGGUUGGUGUCAGUUCCCUUGCCCAGUGAGGAAUCAGUUAAUGAAGUGUUUCCAUGCCCAAUGACUGAGCAAGGCAGUCUCAUCUGGCAGGCACAGAACUGCCAAUCUCAGUGAUAAAGAAUCACAAUUUGAAAAGUCACUUCAUGCUGGAGCACUAGACACUGGUCUCAGCAUUGUUUUCAGAUAUUAUGUGGCCUCUUCACUCUCACAGCAAGCCUUUCCUUUCCUUCAGUGGUCAGACUUUGUAAUAGGCAUGGCAAUAAAUUUCAGCUCUGGAGGUGAUUGGUGCAGUGAUAAAGAAGGUCCUGCUGCUGGUUUAUGGGAACCACAUCAGCUCUUCUGCAGUCCUCUGGUAGUUCCCCAGUGUUCCAGGAUUUUUGAAAGAUAUGGUGCAAUGGUUCUGAGCUCCUUUAGAACUCUGGAAUGUAAACCAUCAGGUCCCGGUAAUUUGUAUUCAUCAAGAUCAGACAGGGUGUUCCAUCUCACCAAUGCUGCCAUCAGGUGUGGUGCGCUCAUAGUGGUCCUCAGGUAGAGCCAGAGGUCCUAUCCGAGGCCCUGAUGAAGAUUUGCUGCUAGGUGUUUCUGACUCUUCAAGGCCACUGUCAUAGUAACUGUGCUGGGAGGGAUCCUGCAGAUCUUGAGCCUGAUUGGCUGCAGAGAAUGUCACUCGGCGAUGAGGUAACUGCAAAAAGCAAAGCAAAAUCCUUAAUUAAUCUGUUCAACACAAGUACAGUAAAAAGAUGUAUCUUCAAUAAGUGACCCCAGAAUAUUCUACAAUGAAAUCUAAUGCACAUGUUUCCAUUAAAGAAAAUCUACCAAAAUUAUAAACAAGAUUAUAGAGUGUACUUAAUUUAAGGCAUGUCCACAGUAAUAAUUGACUGUCAGCUGAUGACUUCUGGUGGAAGGUCAUCAAAUUAGUAAUUAUAUUAUUGAGUCAUGGACAGGCAUUUCUGUUCUUAAAAUAAUAAAAGAAUUCAAAAUUUUUGAAUUUAUAAUGCUUUGUAAAAAAAUUGUUGUACCUGUGAUAUAACUUAUACAUAUAUGUUAUAUCUAUAUAUUGAUAUAUAUAUAUCAAUAUAUAUAACAUAUUGUAAAAUACAAUAAAACAAAAUAAAAUAAUAAAAAGAGUAUUGGAUGCAAAUAGACUACUGCAUAUCUAUAGCUCUUGCUUCAUAGAAAUGCAUACUAUGGAUAGUCCUUGCUUACCAAUCAUUCAUUCAGCAACUGUUUAAUUUUUCAAUAGUACUGAAGAAAUAAUUUUACAAUCCAUUUAUGACCUUCGCAGAGUCCCUCAAUCAUAUGGUGACUAUUAUAGUCAAUGAAGCUAUCGAAGUGCUGUCCCGGUGUUUGGAAGCCGUACGGGUCUGGAUGGGGAGAAACAGGCUCAAGCUCAAUCCCUCCAAGACGGAGUGGCUGUGGAUGCCGGCAUCCCGGUACAGUCAGCUGAGUCCGCGGCUGACUGUCGGGAGCGAGUCAUUGGCCCCGAUGGAGAGGGUGCGCAAUUUGGGCGUUCUCCUGGAUGCACGGCUGUCUUUUGAAGACCAUUUGACGGCCAUCUCCAGGAGAGCUUUCCACCAGGUUCGCCUGGUGCGCCAGUUGCGCCCCUUUCUAGACCGGGAUGCCUUGUGCACAGUCACUCACGCCCUUGUGACGUCUCGUCUGGACU